rnacentral:rRNA from 1 species
UACGGAGGAGGCAAGCGUUAUCCGGAAUUAUUGGGCGUAAAGCGUCCGCAGGUGGCUAUUUAAGUCUGCGGUCAAAGACUGGGGCUUAACCUUGGAAAGGCCGUGGAAACUGAAGAGCUAGAGUGCAGUAGGGGUAGAGGGAAUUCCCGGUGUAGCGGUGAAAUGCGUAGAGCUCGGGAAGAACAUCGGUGGCGAAAGCGCUCUGCUGGACUGCAACUGACACUCAGGGACGAAAGCUAGGGGAGCGAAUGGG